ACGCUCGACACCUACGGGGGCAGCAGUGGGGAAUAUUGCACAAUGGGGGAAACCCUGAUGCAGCGACGCCGCGUGAGCGAAGAAGUAUUUCGGUAUGUAAAGCUCUAUCAGCAGGGAAGAAACUGACGGUACCUGACUAAGAAGCACCGGCUAAAUACGUGCCAGCAGCCGACGGUAAUCUGAGGCGGGCGUGGACGAAGGC
rnacentral:rRNA from 1 species